AUUGUCAAAUUUCUGCUAGUAUAAUUAUAAAAUUUAAUUAACUUUUUAAUUUACUCAUUACAGAUGACUCCUUGGAAUAAACUCCAGUGCCAUGCACUUGCGAUCAACUUGCAAAGUUUAGAUGCAGCAAUUGUGGUGGCACGUCGGCGAUAGUCUCCAAUAUCCCGUUGCACUUCCGGGCCAAAUUUCACUCGAACGUCAGCAAUCCUUCAGUGAAGUCCGUUGAGCGUCGGAACAUAAUCACGGAGAUGAAUAUCUAUCUCCUGCUCUAACCCAAACUGUUUGGAAAAGUCGCGCUCUAGGAGAAUUUUAUUUCAUCAAGCUUAAGGGGUUAUACGCAGUUAGAAUUUUCAAAAAAUCGUUUUUUUUUUUUUUUUUUUUUUUUUUUUUUUCAUUUUCGGAAUGUACAUAUAUUUGAGUAUAUUCUCUGAAAAUUUGAAGUCAAUCCGAUAAAUACUUUUGGAGAUAUACCUGAAUUUGUAAGGCCACGUCAGAGCGUUAGAAAGUAGGGCCAGUAAGCACUGGACGAGCAGAUGCACGCAUGAGGCGCGCUACCUGAGACCCUUUAUUCUAUUGUUUUCUUGUAAAAUACGAGUAUAAUAGUUAGGUAUACUAAAGACUUGAAGGUCACAUCCAGUUAUAUUAUAACCUAAAAGAAGUGUUUCGUCAGUCUAAAUUGUUCUGCUAAGUUGUAAAGUCGUGCGUUCAGUUCAAACUUACUUGUGAAUUUUGUGUUUUAUUGUGAAUUUUAUUUAAACGUGAAAAAAAUGCCUCGUAAAUGUUCGAGAUCUCGUAGAAGUACCGAAAAUGUCCAAAUAUCUAGAAGAAAGAAGAGAACACCGACUUUUAAUCCAAAGACUACUGAAACGGAUGAAAGUAGUUUUAGUGCGUCUGCUAAAAAAUUCAAAAUGCAGAAAGAGAUUUUAGUUUCACGUGAUCCUUCGAUUGAAUAUAGAAUUUUAAACUUCAUUACAGUAUUUGGUGCGAUAAGUGAAUAUGUGCAAUGUAGGUCUUGUAAGGGAAACAUAAAAUUUGAAACUGCUUCUACCCGUGGACUAGGUUUUAAAAUCGUUGUACUGUGUGAUAAGUGUGAGAAUCGUGUGAUAAACUCCAGCCCUUUUGUCAAGCAUUCUUACGAAUUAAACAGAAGAUUUAUAUUUGUGAUGAGAAUUCUGGGACUAGGAUUAAAAGGUGCAGCUAAAUUUUGUGGCUUGAUGGAUAUGCCUGCUUUUUUAACACAAAACACUUAUGACUUGAUUAUUGAGAACAUUCAUUCUUGUGUGAAAGUAGCAGCUGAAAAACUGUUUGAAAAAGCCUGUACCGAGGAAAAAGAAGCGACUGCUGGAAACCAAGGUGACCAAAAUGAUGGAGAAUUAACAGUUUCGGGUGACGGAACCUGGAAGAAGCGAGGGUAUUCUUCUUUAUCAUUGUUACACAUUAUGAGUGCAUUAGGGCUUUCAUUAGGCACCGCAGCUCAUGAUUAUGCUCAGAAAGAGGACGCAGAGCGUGUGAUGAUCUCCGACGCGAGAGCGCUAGGGAGCACGCGCGAAGAAAGAAUGGCUCGACGACAACACCAGCUGGACUUACUGGAAGCUAAGGAUCCUACACAAGGUCCCUCUUAUGGCCCAGGAAUCGAUGAUACCAUGUAAGUUUAAAAAAACAAAAUUUACCUAUGUGUAAACUACUUCUGAAACUUUAAACGCGUUUAUCUCAAAACUGUCAUUUCAGAGUCGAUAAUCCAAACCGACGAAAUCGUGCUCACCGCCGAGCGCCUUUUUUUGGAGGUCGUUCGGGACAUCAUCUGCAGAGGCGGUGCACAUCAAUAUUUUGACACGAGUAAUACACAAUUAUAUUCUUCAAAGUGUGCUCUUUCAGAAUUAAUAUCACUUUUACUUAAAAAAUAAAAGCUGUGUCCACAAAAAAAUCGUAAAAAAACGUUAUUUUUAAGCCUCGCAACUGCGUAUAACCCCUUAAUGAAUUACGCUUAUCAAAAGUACCGGUUUGUGGUUACGGAAUCUUAUCAUCAAUCUCUCGUUUGACGGCCUCUAAUUUAUCUAUGCUGACAAAAUGUUACUAACAAUCUCUAAGGACAAAUUAAGUGUAAGCUUACGAAAAAAGAAUAGUGGAAAAAUGAAAUUAAAUUCGUU
rnacentral:misc_RNA from 1 species